rnacentral:rRNA from 1 species
CUGGUUGAUCCUGCCAGUAGUCAUAUGCUUGUCUCAAAGAUUAAGCCAUGCAUGUCUAAGUAUAAGCAAUCUAUACGGUGAAACUGCGAAUGGCUCAUUAAAUCAGUUAUCGUUUAUUUGAUAGUACCUUACUACUUGGAUAACCGUGGUAAUUCUAGAGCUAAUACAUGCUAAAAACCCCAACUCACGAAGGGGUGUAUUUAUUAGAUUAAAGACCAAUGCCCUUCGGGGCUCUUUGGUGAUUCAUAAUAACUUUUCGAAUCGCAUGGCCUUGCGCCGGCGAUGGUUCAUUCAAAUUUCUGCCCUAUCAACUUUCGAUGGCAGGGUCUUGGCCUGCCAUGGUUACAACGGGUAACGGAGGGUUAGGGCUCGACCCCGGAGAAGGAGCCUGAGAAACGGCUACUACAUCCAAGGAAGGCAGCAGGCGCGCAAAUUACCCAAUCCCGAUUCGGGGAGGUAGUGACAAUAAAUACUGAUACAGGGCUCUUUUGGGUCUUGUAAUUGGAAUGAGUACAAUUUAAAUCCCUUAACGAGGAACAAUUGGAGGGCAAGUCUGGU